GCCUACGGGAGGCAGCAGUGGGGAAUAUUGGACAAUGGGGGCAACCCUGAUCCAGCAAUGCCGCGUGUGUGAAGAAGGCCUUCGGGUUGUAAAGCACUUUUAUCCGGAACGAAACGCGCUUGGUGAAUAGCCAGGCGAACUGACGGUACCGGAGGAAUAAGCACCGGCUAACUUCGUGCCAGCAGCCGCGGUAA
rnacentral:rRNA from 1 species